AAAUAAGAAGCGAUAUAUUGCAAUCAGUUUCGACCUGAUCUUAGAUGCCACCAUCCUUAUUUA
rnacentral:tRNA from 1 species